GCCCAGAUGGCGGAAUUGGUAGACGCGUUGGUCUCAAACACCAAUACUUCACGGUGUACGGGUUCGAGUCCCGUUCUGGGCA
rnacentral:tRNA from 1 species